rfam:Human echovirus 11, isolate FIN-0666, complete virion genome
AAGUGGUUAGACUCCUUCUAAAAAUUAGAGUACAAUUAAUGAACUAUAAUUGGCUUAACCCUACCGCAUGAACCGAACUUGACAAAAGUGCGGUAGGGGUAAAUUCUCCGCAUUCGGUGCGG